rnacentral:rRNA from 1 species
UACGGAGGGUGCGAGCGUUGUUCGGAAUCACUGGGCGUAAAGGGCGUGUAGGCGGCCCGCUAAGUCUGAUGUGAAAGCCCGGGGCUCACCCCCGGAAGUGCAUUGGAAACUGGCGGACUCGAGUCCCGGAGAGGAGAGUGGAAUUCCUGGUGUAGCGGUGAAAUGCGUAGAUAUCGGGAGGAACACCGGUGGCGAAGGCGGUUCUCUGGGCCUUACCUGACGCUGAGGCACGAAAGCGUGGGGAGCAAACAGG